rnacentral:rRNA from 1 species
GCGUUGUUCGGCAUUACUGGGCGUAAAGGGCGCGUAGGCGGCCUUCUAAGUCGAACGUGAAAUCCCUGGGCUCAACCCAGGAACUGCGUCCGAUACUGGAAGGCUUGAAUCCGGGAGAGGGAUGCGGAAUUCCAGGUGUAGCGGUGAAAUGCGUAGAUAUCUGGAGGAACACCGGUGGCGAAGGCGGCAUCCGGGACCGGUAUUGACGCUGAGGCGCGAAAGCCAGGGGAGCAAACGGG